GAUGAAGAACGUAGCGAAAUGCGAUAAGUAAUGUGAAUUGCAGAAUUCAGUGAAUCAUCGAAUCUUUGAACGCACCUUGCGCCCUUUGGCCAUUCCGAAGGGCAUGCCUGUUUGAGUAUCAUGAACACCUCAACUCUUCAUGGUUUUCCAUGAUGAGCUUGGACUUUGGGGGUCUUGCUGGCCUGUGGGUCGGCUCCUCUCAAAUGAAUCAGCUUGCCGGAUUUUGGUGGGCAUCACAGGUGUGAUAACUAUCUACGCUUGUGGUUUUCCACCAGGGUAACCUUCAGCAGUGGAGGUUCACUGGAGCUUACAAAUGUCUCUCCUCUGUGAGGACAGCCCUUUGAAUGUUUGAUCUCAAAUCAGGUAGGACUACCCGCUGAACUUAAGCAUAUCAAUAAGCGGAGGA
rnacentral:misc_RNA from 1 species